rnacentral:lncRNA from 1 species
CAAAGAGUUACAAGAAAAGUCGAUCAAAUUCUCAGCUACAUUAAGGCAUACAGCAUUCUGGCUUGUCGGGAAAUAGGCAGUAUAACUUUACAGUAGAUGUAAUGGCAGCCUGAGGGACAGCAGGGAAUAUAAGUGGAUGGCAGCAAAAGGAAGAGAAAUGGCUGUGUAUUUCCAAAAGGAGGUGAUACAUGAAGAUAUAGAGAUGCACAGUUUGAGAGGGUUUCUUCCUUUGUCAAUCUCAACAACUCCACCCAACAUUCACCCUUUUACCCAAGGAACUGGAACGCAACCCAGAUGGAUACCUUCAGGAUGGGAAAAAUAUCUUCGGGAUAUUCUGAUUCAAUGACAUUCUG